rnacentral:rRNA from 1 species
GAUGAACGCUGGCGGCGUGCCUAAUACAUGCAAGUCGAGCGAACAGAUAAGGAGCUUGCUCCUUUGACGUUAGCGGCGGACGGGUGAGUAACACGUGGGUAACCUACCUAUAAGACUGGGAUAACUUCGGGAAACCGGAGCUAAUACCGGAUAACAUUUGGAACCGCAUGGUUCUAAAGUGAAAGAUGGUUUUGCUAUCACUUAUAGAUGGACCCGCGCCGUAUUAGCUAGUUGGUAAGGUAACGGCUUACCAAGGCGACGAUACGUAGCCGACCUGAGAGGGUGAUCGGCCACACUGGAACUGAGACACGGUCCAGACUCCUACGGGAGGCAGCAGUAGGGAAUCUUCCGCAAUGGGCGAAAGCCUGACGGAGCAACGCCGUGUGAGUGAUGAAGGGUUUCGGCUCGUAAAACUCUGUUAUUAGGGAAGAACAAAUGUGUAAGUAACUGUGCACGUCUUGACGGUACCUAAUCAGAAAGCCACGGCUAACUACGUG